CACAGAUAUUUAAUGGCAUUAUCUUUUUGAAUGAGAUGUGCCUGUCAUCACAUUUGGCGGGGGUUCACAUGCUCAAUAUCUAGUUGUAUUUGUUUUGUUUUGUGAACUAUCAAUUUUAUCUUAUGAAUUUGAAUGUGCCUUUAGUAUUUGUUUGUAAUUUGUUUCAUUUUCUAUAAGAUUAUUUUCAUGACACAGGCUCACCUUCAUUG